rnacentral:rRNA from 1 species
GACGAACGCUGGCGGCGCGCCUAACACAUGCAAGUCGAACGAGCGGGAGAGAGCUUGCUUUCUCGAGCGAGUGGCGAACGGGUGAGUAACGCGUGAGGAACCUGCCUCAAAGAGGGGGACAACAGUUGGAAACGACUGCUAAUACCGCAUAAGCCCACGACCCGGCAUCGGGUAGAGGGAAAAGGAGCAAUCCGCUUUGAGAUGGCCUCGCGUCCGAUUAGCUAGUUGGUGAGGUAACGGCCCACCAAGGCGACGAUCGGUAGCCGGACUGAGAGGUUGAACGGCCACAUUGGGGCUGAGACACGGCCCAGACUCCUACGGGAGGCAGCAGUGGGGAAUAUUGCACAAUGGGGGAAACCCUGAUGCAGCGACGCCGCGUGGAGGAAGAAGGUCUUCGGAUUGUAAACUCCUGUUGUUGAGGAAGAUAAUGACGGUACUCAACAAGGAAGUGACGGCUAACUACGUG